AACGAACGCUGGCGGCAGGCUUAACACAUGCAAGUCGAGCGAGACCUUCGGGUCUAGCGGCGGACGGGUGAGUAACGCGUGGGAACGUGCCCUUCUCUACGGAAUAGCCCCGGGAAACUGGGAGUAAUACCGUAUACGCCCUUUGGGGGAAAGAUUUAUCGGAGAAGGAUCGGCCCGCGUUGGAUUAGGUAGUUGGUGGGGUAAUGGCCCACCAAGCCGACGAUCCAUAGCUGGUUUGAGAGGAUGAUCAGACACACUGGGACUGAGACACGGCCCAGACUCCUACGGGAGGCAGCAGUGGGGAAUCUUAGACAAUGGGGGCAACCCUGAUCUAGCCAUGCCGCGUGAGUGAUGAAGGCCUUAGGGUUGUAAAGCUCUUUCAGCUGGGAAGAUAAUGACGGUACCAGCAGAAGAAGCCCCGGCUAACUCCGUG
rnacentral:rRNA from 1 species